UUUUUUUUUUUUUGCUUUUUAGGGCUGCACCUGAGGCAUAUAGAGAUUCCCAGGCUAGGGGUCUAAUCAGAGCUACAGCCACCAGCCUAUUCCACAGCAAUGCAGGAUCCAAGCCAUAUCUGCGACCUACACCACAGCUCACAGCAAUGCCGAAUCCUUAACCCACUGAGUGGGUCCAGGGAUUGAACCAGCAACCUCAUGGAUACUAGUCAGAUUCGUUUCUGCUGUGCCACAAUGGGAACUCCCCAUCAAUCUCCAAUGAUUUAAAAAAAAUAAAUAUAUGGAGAAAAAACAAUAGAAUGAAAUUCAUUGAAGACAGCCAGUUACCUUCUUUUCCUAUUUUUAUCAUUUAAUGAAAAUAAGUUGUGCAAAGUAGAUUCUCACUUUCUGGGUGUGUCAUUUAUUCUGUAUAUUCAGUGAUAUCUGAAGGUCACUGUUCCAGGUGGUCACCAGUUUCCAGGUUUACAGGAGGAUAACUCUGAAUGCUGGACAUUGAUUUCUUUAUUUCAGAUUAUCUUGAGAAUAUCAUGGCGUUCUUUCGGAUAUCCAUUUAUAGCAGCCUUAACACCUACUUGAUGAGAACAAUGGUUUUUGAAUAACAACAGCUACCAUUUAUCCAGUAUUUAUUAUGUAGCAGGUACUGUGAUUAUAUUCUCAUUUAGUCUUCAACAACUCUGGGAGGUCGAUAAUAUCUUUAUUUUAUAAAUGAGUUGAAGUUGGGGAAAUUAACUUGAUUAACAUGGCGUAAAUGGCAGAGUCAGAACUUGAACUCAGGGCUGUGGUAAAGAAUGCUGUUUUUUUCUUUUUAUCUAGUUUCGUUUUAUUAAAAGUAUAGUAACAUAAAUAUAAAAGUAGCCCUUUCGACCACUUUUAAGUGUACUGUUUAGUGGCAUAUUCACAGUAUGUAACCAUCACCACUGUGUAUUUCCAAAAUUGUCAUUACUCCAAACAGACUUUGGAUCAGCUAAGCAGUAUCUCCUCCUAACCCCUGGUAACCUGUAAUCUACAUCUCAUUUCUAAAUUUGCUUUUUCUAGAUAAUUCAAAUGAGUAGUGUCAUACGAUAUUUGUCACUUUGUUGGUGGUAUAUUUCACUUAGCAGUUCUUCCAGGUUUAUCCUGUUGUAUAUAUUUGUCUUUUUAGGGCCACACCCGAGGCAUAUGGGAGUUCCCAGGCUAGAGGUUGGAUCGGAGCUGUAGCUGCCAGCCUACACCACAGCCACAGCAAUGCUGGAUCUUUAACCCACUGAUAGAGGCCAGCGAUUGAACUCUCGUCCUCAUGAAUACUGGUUGGGCUCGUUAACCCCUGGACCACAACGGGAGCUCCCUAGCUGAAUAACAUUCAGUUGUAUGUUUAUACCAUAUUUUGAUUAUCCCUUCAUCUGUUGAUGGACAUUUAGAUUGUUGCCACUUUUUGGCUAUUUUUUGUUUUUGUUUUUGCUUUUUAGGGCCACACCUGUAGCAUAUGGAAGUUCCUAGGCUAGGGGUUGAGUCAGAGCAGCAGCUGUCGACCUACACAACAGCUACAGCCUUGCCAGAGCCGAGUCUGUGACCUACACUGCAUUGCUUGCGGCAACGCUGGAUCCUUAACCCACUGAGUGAGGUCAGGGCUCAAACUCACAUCCUCACAGAUACUAGUUGGGUCUUUAGCCUGCUGAGCCACAAUGGGAACUUCCACUUUUUGGCUGUUUGAAUAAUACAGCUGUGAACUUUGGUGUACAAAUAACAGUUUGAAUGCCUGUUUUCAAUUCUUUAGGAUAUAUCCUAGGAGAACCUAGGAAUUGAUAGGUUAUAUGGCAAUCCUAGGUUUACCUUUUUGAGGAACGGCCGAACUUUCGCACAGUGGCAGUUUAAAUUUCUACCAGCAACAUACAAGGGUUCCAGUUUCUCCACAUUUUCACCAACUCUUGUUAUUUCCUGUUUUAAAAAUUAUAGCCUUUCUAGUGAGUGAAAAGACUGGUAUCUCAUCAUAGUUUGGGUUUUCAUUUUGUAAUGGUUAGUGAUGUUGAGCGUCAUUUUUUUGGCUGCACUUUUGGCGUGUAGAAAUACCUUCCCUGGCCAGGAGUUGAACCAGAGCUGCAGCUGGGGCUUCUGCCACGGCCGGUGGUUGUAGCUCUGAUUAGACCCCUAGCCUGGGAACCUCCAUAUGCUGCGGUAGCGGCCCUAGAAAAAAGCCCAAAAAAAAGGGGGGGAAUCUUCUUUGAAGAAAUAUCUCUUUGUCUUUGCUUGUUUUUUAAUAGGGGUGUUUGGGGUUUUUUGUUGUUGUUGAGUUGUAGGAGUUCUUUAUAUAUUCUGUAUAUUAAACCGUUAUCAGGAUACAUGAUUUGCAAUUAUUUUCUCCUAUUCUGUAGGUUGCGUUUUCACUCUUCGAGGGUGUCUUUUGAUGCACAAGUUUAAUAAAGUCCAGUAUAUCUACUUUUGUUGCGUGUGCUUACAGGUUCAGUUAUAUAUAUAUAUUUAACUAAACCUUCACUGAUAGGGAAAAUAAAUCUAUAACCAAUAAUUUACAGAUCUUAGAACUUUCAUUUGCUUUCUUAAGUAUAAAUAGAAAGCUGUUUUAAGCUUAUUUCCUCUGUCAGAUCUUGUAAAAAGGUUGUGAAAUGGUUUUUAAAAAGUUGACAAAGGCAAUCCAUAAACCCACUUCAUCUUCUUAAUCAAGAGAUGAUUGUUGUGUUUUCCGGGGAAGCAUUUUAUAGGCAACAAACAUCAUGUACCCUCAAUAUGCCUAGUGUUGUAUUGGUUGCUGUUGUUCCAAAAAAAAAAUAAUCACGAUCUUUCUUUUUGGGAAUGUUGGAAGCCUUUUUUAGGAAAGCAUAAUAAAAUAUGCACUCAUGAAGCAACUAUAAAAUAUUAUUUAAACAGAUAAAAAUAUCAUUGAAAUAAAUUGCGCAAGUACUGAGGGAAUAAAGGAAAACGAAGUAGAUUUCAGCUGCUUAAAGUUGUGGCCCCUCAACCAGUGGCAUUGGCAUCGCGUAGGAAGGAGCAUGUUAGAAGUGCAGAAUCUGUGUUUUCACAAGAUUCUCAUGUGAUGCCUCUGCAUGUUAAAGGUUGAGAAGCCUUGGUGUAGGCUUGCUUACAGUGGGAAGAGACCAGAGUAAGGAAGCUCUUAGGGGAAAAAAAUGGCAAGAGUUGGUUAUUUAUGGAUGUAGGUAUAUAGAAGAGAAAAGAAAAAGAAUCCCAGGAGUUCCCUUCAUGGCUCAGUGGUGAACGAACCUGACUAGUAUCCAUGAGGAUGCAGGUUCAAUCCUUGGCCUUGCUCAGUGGGUGAAGGAUCUGGCAUUGCCAUGAUGAGCUGUGGUAUAGUUCGCAGAUGCAACUCAGGAUCCCUCGUGGCUGUGGCUGUGGCUGUGGCGUGGGCCGGCAGCUGCAGCUCCGAUUUGACCCCUAGCCUGAGAACUUUGGAAUGCCACGGCCGUAGCCCUAAAACGGAGGGGGAAAAAAAAAAGAGAGAAUCCCGUGUUUGUGAACGUGGGUAACCAAGAAUAUUGAGGUGGAUUGGCAAGUUUUGGGGAAUAAGGAAGAGCUGUCUGGGGAAAGCAACCUUUCAGUGAACUACAAUUUUUCGGUAUGUUAAGGUUUAGUUGACAGAAGAAUUUUUAAGUUGAGACAUCAUUUAGGAUGGUGCAGAAGUUUCCAGGUGCAACUCCUGAAUGCUCAGGAUUAUGAACAUGGAUUUUGGAGUCAGCCAGGGAGGCUGACUGAAGGCAUAAGAGUGUAUGACUGCUGUCAGUAAGUGAAAAGAAGAGGAAAGUACUCAGAAUUGAGUCAUGAAAAUUUCACAAAAGGUAGAGAAAUGAGAAAUCACCUCUCAGGGUCUGACCAUAGUCAGUGCUUAGUUUACUGAAUUUUGUUGAAUUGUUGGGAAACAGGAAAAUAGAUCCACCUGGAUCUGAAACUGAUAGGUCUGAUUGUAUUUGAACUUUUCAUUUUACUCUGGUGCAGAAAUUCAUAUCCGAGUACAGGAUAGACUCCUUGGGCAUCCAACCCCAGAGGAUACCCCGGCCCUUUUCAGGUUAGUAUACUUUAGAAGAAACAAAUCCUCUACAAGAGCUCAGUUACUUUCUUCACCAAGAAUAUCAUGCAUAUCUAUUUCUUCUGUAUUUUCAGUGUUCCAUAUAUUACUUAUAUCCAUCAUCUAACUAGGUUGUUUAUUGAAUUUUGCUUCUUAAGGCUGUGACCUUAAAUGAAACAAAAUACAGCAUGACCAGGACUAAAGAUUAAGUCUCUUCCUUUUAUCUCUAGUGUGACAGUAGAAGUAAAAAUCUUUCAUAUUUUGUGUUGGUGAGCUCUGGGGCUUUAUGAGGGGUGAAUAAAAUUUCAUACAAAUUGGAGAGAGACAUACUGUGAAAUAGGAGACAUGUACUUGAUAUAAAUCAGAGGGUUGCUGAUUUUCCUAGGAGGGAUGGAGUUGUGGGGAAAGAACCAACAGGAAAACAGCAAGAUAAUGUAGAUUGGAAAUACAGUGGUGCUCUGGGUAAGUAGGGCCAGUAAGUAUGAGAAUUGAAGUUAGGCCAGGGAAGCAACAAUUGGAAAUUACAGGGAUAUGGGGAAAGCUGAAUCCUCUGAGAAGUAAGCACUCCAGUUUGUGGUGUGUUGUAGCCCCUGCCUCAUGAGCUAUCUUCCAUCAAGUAGUCCCACUCAUUUUCAAUUUACUACCAAAUAAAGGGUUGAAGUUUUUUCCCAGUCAAGAUUAUCUUGGAACUUAUGUUGGAGAGACAUUUUUAAAGAUUCUCAUUAUCAGAGUUCCUGUCGUGGCUCAGUGGUUAACAAAUCCGACUAAGAACCAUGAGGUUUCGGGUUCGGUCCCUGGCCUUGCUCAGUGGGUUAACGAUCUGGCGUUGCCGUGAGCUGUGGUGUAGGUGGCAGACUCAGCUCGGAUCCCGAGUUGCUGUGGCUCUGGCGUAGGCCAGUGGCUGCAGCUCCGAUUAGACCCCUAGCCUGGGAGCCUCCAUAUGCCGAGGGAGCAGCCCUAGAAAAGGCAAAAAGACAAAAAUAAAUAAAUAUUCUGGAGUUCCCGUCGUGGCGCAGUGGUUAACGAAUCCGACUAGGAACCAUGAGGUUGCGGGUUCGAUCCCUGCCCUUGCUCAGUGGGUUAACGAUCCGGUGUUGCCCUGAGCUGUGGUGUAGGUCGCAGACGCGGCUUGGAUCCCAUGUUGCUGUGGCUGUGGUGUAGGCUGGUGGCUACAGCUCCGAUUCAACCCCUAGCCUGGGAACCUCCAUAUGCCGCAAGAGCGGCCCAAGAAAUGGCAAAAAGACAAAAAUAAAUUAAAAAAAAAAAA
ensembl:lncRNA